rnacentral:tRNA from 2 species
GCCGAUGUAGCUCAGCUGGCCAGAGCUACUGAUUUGUAAUCAGUGGGUCGGGGGUUCGAAUCCCUCCAUCGGCU